UGAGCAGAACACAUGUGGGCUGUGAGGGCCAUGUAGACAUCUGGGACAAGAGCAUUCCAGGAAGAGGAAAAAAGCACAUGCAAAGGCCCUGAGGCCAAAGGCUGCUUGAUGUGUAUAAGAACCAGCAAGAAGGCCUGUAGGAUCAGAGUCAAGAGAAUGAGGGGUUGGGGGAGCAGACCAUGGAUGACUUUAUAGGCCAUUGUGAGUGAGAUGAGGCUUUGAGCAGAGGGUGGCCUGAUGGGACCUAUAGUCCCCUCCUCCCCCCAACACUGGCUGUUUUUUUGUUGCUGUUUUGUUUUGUUUUGUUUGAGAUAGAGUCUCGCUCUGUCGCACAGGCUGGAGUGCAGUGACAUGAUCUCGGGUCCCUGCAAACUCUGUCUCCCGGGUUCAAGCGAUUCUCCUGCCUUAGCCUCCCAGGUAGCUGGAACUACAGGCGCCCCCACCACGCCCGGCUAAUUUUUGUAUUUUUAGUAGAGGUUGGGGGGUUACACCAUGUUGGCCAGGCUGGUCUCGAACUCCUGACCUCAAAUGAUCCACCCACCUUGGCCUCCCAAAGUCCUAGGAUUACAGGCAACACUGGCUGUUUUAAAGGAGAAUUGUCAUUUAUUUUUGGUUUUGUUUGUUUACAUUUUAAUAGGAUUGCUCUAGCAGCUGUGUUGAGAAAAGACAACACAGGGAGACAAGCAUAGAAGCAGGAAGGGGAGGUAGCUGCAAAAGGCAGGAGAGAGGUGAGGCGGGCUGGUCCAGGAGGUGGCCAGGAUUCGGGGGUGAGGCAGUGGGAGUAGCAAAAGCAGAUUCUGGAUGCUCUUGACAGUAGAGCCUGUAGGACUUGCUGAUGGAUCAAAUGUGGGUGUGAGAAGUCAGGCAGGACUCCCAAGGUUUGGCCCUGGUGUGAUGUUUAAUAUUAAGUGUCAACUUGAUUGAAGGAUUCACAGUAUUGUUCCUAGGUGUGUCGUGAGGGUGUUCCCAAAGGAGAUUAACAUUUGAGUCAGUGGACCGGAAGAGGCUGACCCACCCUCAAUCUGGGUGGGCCCCAUCUAAUCGGCUACCAGAGCGGCUAGAAUAAAGCAGACUUGCUGAGUCUUCUGGCCUUCAUCUUUCUGCCGUACUGGAUGCUUCCUGCCCUUGAACAUCAGCCUCCCAGUUCUUCAGCUUUCGGACUCUUAGACUUACACCAGUGGUUUGCCAGGGCCUCUUGGGCCUUUGCCCACAGAUGGAAGGCUACACUGUCGGCUUCCCUAUUUUUGAGGUUUUGGGACUUGGACUGAUCCACCACUGGCUUCCUUGCACCUCAGCUUGCAGACAGCCAAUCAUGGGACUUUAGCUUGUGAUCGUGUGAGUCAAUUCUCCUCAAUAAACUCCCUUUCAUAUAUACAUGUAUCCUAUUAGUUCUGUCCCUCUAGAGAACCCCGACCCUGACUAAUACACCUGGCAAACUGCCAUUUACUGAGAUACAAAAGAUUGCAGAAGGCACUGGUUUGGUCAAGAAAUCUGGAUGUUUGGUUUGUUUGUUUGUUUGUUUAUUUUGAGACGGAAUCUGCUCUGUCGCCCGGGCUGGAGUGCAGUGGCAUGAUCUCGGCUCACUGCAACCUCUGCCUCCCAGGUUCCAGCGAUUCUCCUGCCUCGGCCUCCUGAGUAGAUGAGACUACAUGUGCGCGCCACCAUGCCUGGCUAAUUUUUUGUAUUUUUUAGUAGAGACAGGGUUUCACCAUAUUGUCCAGCCUGGUCUUGAACUCCUGAUCUUGUGAUUCACCCGCCUUGGCCUCCCAAAGUGCUGGGAUUACAGCCGUGAGCCACCGUGCCCGGCCUUGGUUUUUAUUUCGUUAGUAUUAAGAAACCUAAUAGGCAUUCAUUCAAGUGGACGUAUCAAGUAAGCAAUUGUACAUAGAAGCCUAGGCAAGCUAGAAAUUAAGGAAUCAUCAGCUUUAGAUCAUAUUGAAAGCCUUAAGACCAGAUGAAAUGAAUGAGCAAGUAAGUGACUGCAGAGAAAGACUGCCACAGACUGAGCUCUGGAGUCAGACAGGAGGAAGAAGCAGCACUCCCUGAGCUGGGGGUUGUGCAGAGCUGUACAGAGAGAGAGAGAGUGCCAGAGGUUUGCAGAGGGUUCCCUUCAAGUCUUUACUGAGCAGUGCAGGCAAGUGAAGAAAUACCUGCAUUUCAAAUUCCUACUGUGGUAGGCACUCCUACCCCAUGCCAGAUAAAGAAUCACCAGCGAAUAUUAGAGAAAACAAUCCCCAGCACUCACGCACGGCCCAGAGGAACUCCGAAUUCCGCCAAUCAUGGUGAAAACCUUCACAACUCAAGGAUUUGUUGAGUAGAAUGCUGCUCAGGGCCCACCCCCUAAAAAAAGUGUAAAAACAUGACCUGAAGCAUCAAGCUCUUUCCAAGGAACUUACCUGCACCCCAGAACAAAGCUCAAAAAUAUUCAUAAAAAUAAACAUUAUAUGUAUCUCAAAGUAAACUUCUCAAUGUCUGGCAUUCAAUAAAAAAUUAUCUGGCUUGUAAAGUAGGAAAAUAUUACCUACAAUGAAGAGAAAAGCCAAUCAAUAUAAACAAUCUCAGAAAUUACUUAGGUGAUAAAGUUAGUAGAAAUGACACAUGUUCCAUAUGCUUGAGCACUAAACACGGAAACCAGAGGACCCAGAUGCAGGUCCAGACACCGAGUGAAACUUCUGCAGGUGAAAUGGCAAUGCCUGAGACGAAAAAUACGCUGGAUGGAAUUGACAGCAGAUUAGAUACUAUAGGAAAGAUGAGUGAAUUUAAAGACACAGCAAUGGAAAUUACACGAAAAUGAAAAACAGAAAGAAAAAAGACUGACAAAAAAUGAACAAAGCCUGAGUUAGCUGUGAAACAAAUUCAAGUGAUCUAAUAUUUGUGUAGUAGAAUCGCCAAAGGAAAGGAGAGGCAGGGGCAGAAAAAAAUAUUUGAAGAAAUAAUGGCUGAAAAAACUCCAAAUCUGAUAGCAACUAUAAACUCAAAGACCAGAGAAGUUCAGUGAAACUCAAGGACAAGAACUUUAAAGAAAAUCAACACCAAGGCACAUCAUAAUCAAAUUGCUUCAGACUAGUGAUACAGAUGAAAUCUUAAAACCAAGCAGAGAUAAAAGACACGUUGCAUAAAAGAAAUAAAGAUAAGAAUGGCAGUUCACUCCUUAUCGGAAACAAAAUGAGCCAGAAAACACUGAAACAGUAUCUUCAUGUUAGAAAAAAAAAAUUGAAAACCCUAAAAAUCGAAAUUGAGCAAAAAUAGCUUCAAACACAGAAGUGAAAUAAAGACUUUUUUGGACAUAUAAAAGCUGAAAGAAUUAGUCACCAGGAGAUCUACACUUCAAGAUCUGUCAAGGAAAGCCCUUCAGACAAAAGGGAAAUGAGACCAUGGAAAUCUAAUCUAUACAAGAGAAUAAGGAGUCUUAGAUAUGGUAACUAUGUGAGUAAAUAUAAAACACUUUUUUCUUAUUGUUUAAAUCUAUUGAAAAGAAUUGGCUGAAAAUGCAGUAUAUAUGUACAAAGUAUUGAAUAGUAUUCAGUCUUAAACAGGAAGGAAAUUCUGACACAUUCUACAAUGUUACAGAUGAAUCUUGAGGACAUUAUGCUAAGUGAAAUACGACAGUGAGGAAAAGACAAAUACUGUAUGACUCCAUUUAUAUGAGGUACUGUACCUAGAGAAGCCAAUUCCUAGACAGGAAGUAAAAUGGUGGUUGCCAGGCACUGUGGGGAGAAGUGAAUGGGGAGUUGUUGUUAAACAGGUACAGAGUUUCAGGUUUGCAACAUGAAGCGUUCUAGAGAUGGAUGGUGGUGAUGGUUGCACAACAAUGGGAAUAUAUUUAAUGCCACUGUACAUUUCAAGAUGGCUGAGUUGCUACAUUUUAUGUCUAUUUUACCACAAUUAAAAGGAAAAGAGAGACAGAGAAUUAGUAGCUUAUUAAGUAAAAACAAUAACAAUGUAUGUGGGUGUACAACAUAUGUAGAAGUACAACAUCCCCAGCACAGAUGCUGGGGGAGGAUGGAAGCAAAUGGUUGUCAGUUUCUUAUACUCUGUAUAAAGUAGUGUAUUAUCACUUGGAGGUGGACUGUGAUGAAGACCUAUACUAUCAACCCCAAAACCACCACUAAACCUCACAAGAAGUUAUUCUUCCUAAGUGACAAAUGAGAUAAAACAAUCACAAAAAUGCCUCUGUCCACUGAAAAGGCCUAGAAAUAGCGGUCCCCUGGAGCAGCAAGCACAAGCGUACAUAUAUAUUAAAAAUUGUCAAAAUGUACACUUUAAAUAUGUGCAGGCCAGGUGCGGUGGCUCACGCCUGUAAUCCCAGCACUUUGGGAGGCUGCCCAGCACUUUGGGAGGCUGAGGCAGGCGGAUUACCUGAGGUCAGGAGUUUGAGACCAGCACAGCCAACAAGGCGAAACCCCGUCUCUACUAAAAAUACAAAAAUUAGCCAGGUGUGGUGGCGCGUGGCUGUAAUCCCAGCUACUCAGAAGUCUGAGGCAGGAGAAUCACUUGAACCCGGGAGGCAGAGGUCAUAGUGAGCUGAGAUCACGCCACUGCAUUCCAGCCUGUGCAACAAAGCAAGACUACAUCUCAAAAAAUAAAAUAAAAUAAAUACAUACGUAUGUGCAGUUAUGCCUAUACUUCAAUAAAAUUGUUUCAAAUAAAAGCACGAUGAGCUGCCUGGACAGGUGAAAAUUCCAGUGGUAGUCAUAAUGUCUUUCCAUAGACUUUCUCUUCUCCUUUCUUUCAGGGACAUAACAAUAUUGCAUUUCCUGUCCUCUUUGAAAUUAAGUGUUGCCACAUGACUUGCUUUGGCCCAUGAAAUGUAAAUAGAAGUUCUUAUAGCAAUUCCUGGUAAGUGCUUCUCUAACUAAUGCACAAUCAGUCCUAAUGCAUAGCCACUCCUACCUGAGUGAUUGUGGAGAUGCAUUUAGAUAAAACACACUCGGUCAGCCUGGGUCUAGGAGGGCCCAUGAGCAAGUCUCUGCUCGUGGGAGUGGACAGGUAGUCUGAGCGAGGAACUUUGCUGCGUAAAGUGGCCCAGUGACCUCUGAGGUGUCUACUUUCUUGAAGAUGUGAGUUAUAUGUCAUAGUCUCCACCAGCCUGGGUGUGGAAUUGAGCUUCCAUUUUCAAGUCUCCACUUGUAUGUCUGGAAUUUGGCUCCUUCUCAAGGUAACACCCAGGGAUUGCUGAGUUCCCAAGUGCUCAGACACAAGUCCACUCAUUUUCUUCAAUUCCAGUUACCAAAGAAAGUCACCAUUCCACCGAGGCUGUGACCAGUGCCCUCCACCAGGCCUAGCUCCAAGAAUCUCAUGCAUCAAGCCCCAGGGCUCCUCACGUUGGGCAUUAAAUGUAAGGUCAUGCCACAUUCUUUAACAUUGUCAGGAAGCAGGAAGGAAAGUACCAGAUACUUGAAGGACCCACUGACCUGGAAAAAAGUGGGAUCUAGUUUCAGCUUGAAAAAAUCCUUCUUCAUAAUUACAUUUCCCUUAGGCAAAUCUCUAACAUGCCUAGGCUUUUGUAUAUCUGUUUUUACUGCGUCACAAACCUCCCCCAAAGAGAAGGGAGACGAUAACUGGAGAAAACCACAAAUUAAUCUUCCAAUAUUUUUUUCUUCCAUAUAAUCAGCAGUGCCUCAGAAUCAAAGCAGUCUCUAAAAAUAUUUUGAAGAAAUUUAUUUUCUUGGAUCUUCAAAGAUCCAAAGUUACUGAGAUGCAAAGAAUCUUCCACAGUAUCAUCCAAGGAUACUGAAGGGCUCCUUCAAACCUCGCCCUUGUAUAUUUCUUCUUCCAGUUGUGAUACUGCAGUUACAUUUGCAAACCAAAUGAUCCCUUUGGGUGGUUUUUCCAAAACAAAUCGUCUUUCCCAAAGGCCUACCUAAGUCUUCAUUUUCCACAAAGUAGAAAACUGCCCACAGCUUUGAAAUGGCAGCAUAAUUUGUAUUUCUACCACCUUGUCCAGGUUUCAGGGAUCUCUGGUCCAGUUUCA
rnacentral:lncRNA from 10 species